rnacentral:rRNA from 1 species
UACGUAGGGUGCGAGCGUUGUCCGGAAUUAUUGGGCGUAAAGAGCUCGUAGGCGGUGUGUCGCGUCGGUCGUGAAAACUUGGGGCUUAACCCUGAGCUUGCGGUCGAUACGGGCAUCACUUGAGUUCGGCAGGGGAGACUGGAACUCCUGGUGUAGCGGUGAAAUGCGCAGAUAUCAGGAAGAACACCGGUGGCGAAGGCGGGUCUCUGGGCCGAAUGACUGACGCUGGAGGAGCGAAAGCGUGGGGAGCGAACAGG